CACCUGUCAGGCAUCAGGUUCCUGGUCAUCACCAAGCUUCACCUGUACAAUCGUGGACUGUGGGGAGCCUACCGUUACUGAACAAAAUGGCGUAGUAAGCAGCGGAUGUACCACGUAUGACUGCUCAAGGACGUUCUCUUGCGCCAGUGGAUAUGACAUCAGCGGAAGUGUCUUUACCGUCACGUGUCAGUCGUCUGGAUCAUGGACAGGCAGCUCAUACUCUUGUAGCCCAGCUGUUGUGACAUGUCCAUCGCAUCCAGUUAUAGCAUACACCACGAUAACAGGUUCCGGGACGGCGGAAGGAACGAC